AUGCUACUCCUGGAGUAUCAGGGGCUCCGGGGACCCGCACUCUCUGCACCUCAAUACUCACCACUCCCCACCCAGGGGGUGGCUCUGCAGGACUCGGUAUGCCGCAGAGAAGCCAAAGCUGUUUGCAAACAAGCGUCCCUUCCCUCCCUCCGGGAUGUGCAAGCAGGGCCCUGGGAAGGAAGGCACGCUCGGCCCCGCCCGGGACAAACGCGAAGGGCACCGGUGCGGCCGCCAGCCCGGUCUUCACAUACCCGGCCGCGCCGGAACCCAGGCCCGGGCAAGGGCUUCUCCGCAGCACCGGGCCUAGUCGUCCCCCGCGCGCCUCCAGCCUCCCGGGGGACCCUUGGAAAAAGGGCCGAGGCCCCAGGGCUGCGGGGUGCCCGCGGCGGCCGCAGUGCCAGGACGCUCCGUCCGCCCGGCCCGAGAGCUGGCGCCAGGGCCCCUGAGCGACGCAAGCCGGCGAGCCCCGCACCGCACCGCACCGCGGCGCGCCACACUCACCGCCUCUCCAUGGCCAGGGGGUCGUCCCUGAGCCGCAAGCCUCCUCCUCCUCAGCAGGGCUCCGCCGCGAAGCCUCGCACUCCUGAGGGGGCUGCGGUCGCUGCGGCGGAGGCCGAGGCCCGGCGCCCCUCCAGCCGCAUCGGCUCCGGGGCCGCCUCAGCCACGCGGGUCCGGGGGAGCGCGGUCGAGCGCGUCCGGGGGCGCAGGCGACGGCGGGACGACGGAGGCGCUGCAGGCAGACGGGCUCGGCGAAGCCUCGGGCGCCGCGGUGGCCGCUCCAGCUCCCGCGCCGCCGGGCCACAGCGCCCCUGGACCCACGUCCCUACGGCGCCGGGACUGCGGCGGCGGCCGCGCGAGUACGGCGGCAGGGAACGCAAGGCAGCGCGGCCUACGGGUGGCUGGGCCCCGUGCGCCCUGCGCCGCCCGCGCCCGCGGCCCGCCCUAACGCGGCUUCCCGGGAGCCGGAAGCUGUCGGCCCACCCCCACCCCACCCCCGUCAGACCCCAGCACCUUUCUUCCCUCCGGAAGAGAAUAAAUAAAACGCUGACCCAAGAGAAGAGAAUAAGCAACGUGUUGUCCUGAAAUUGAUAAACAACUUAAAGGUAAGAAAAGAACCAUCCUUUUAAUAACCUAGCCCUGGCCACCACCUCUACUCUACCACUUCACCACCACCCACCCCUUAACCAAAUCCUAGGUAAGACUCUGGAAGAGGGACAUUGUGGGUAUAUGGAGGGCUAUGCAAUAAUUUUGUUUACAAAUGCCUCCUGUUUGAUUUUGCCCAGCUUCUAGGGCACUAAUGUCACAACCAAAAGCAAAAGACUGUCAGAAGAGAAAUGGGGAAAGAAAUAAAUUCCUAAAGCCCUUGGUCCCCCA
rnacentral:lncRNA from 1 species